rnacentral:lncRNA from 1 species
CUUUACAUCCGGCUUCGGAUUUGAUCUAAUCAACUCUGAUUCUAUUGGUUUAUAUGUCAGUGUCGAUUCCUCUACCUAUCAAGCUUCACCAAGCUUGUUUUUAACGGCAUCAGUUUCUUUAUCAAAAAACUUUUUUUUCUAAAAAAAUAUCCUAAGAUUCAUGAACAUCUCAUGUCUAUUAGGAAGAUAAAAUAAAUAUUUUUAAAAUAAUAUUUAUCAGAUCAAGAUCUAAGCUAGUCGAUUUGUGAAUGUUUCACAUAAGUCUGACACCCCAAAUC